rnacentral:lncRNA from 1 species
AGCUCACGCCUAGUUUCCUCGGCUUCAUCAGUCAAGACCGGACUAAAAAUAUCCGUGACUUAUUACACAUACGUAAUAUGGACCUGCUUGGAUCAUUUGUAGGUGACGCCUGGUUUACCCGGCAAAUUCCACUCCCUACACUAUUUUUUGCCUAAAAACACGGUGUUUCUCCCUACGCACUCCCUCCCAGAGGCUGGCGGGUGAUAACUGCUUACCUUUCUUCAUUAGAAAAGACAAAUUUCCUGAGCUUGAGGUCACCGAGUACGAUGGCCGACUGGUGGCAGUGAGCUACAGCAGAGACGAUCUGCUUGAAAAGCCGGGCAGCUUCCUCUUCCCGCAGCCUCUUGCAGCUCCUCACAUAGGAGUGCAUGUCCCCAAAGUCCUUUUCGAAGAAGACAUAGGCCUUGGUGUCUCCGAGGAUCACUUCUACGACCCCGGUGAUGUUCCUGUGUGAUGGCAGCUGAAUGUAAGGCCGGAUCUUGUCCUGGUAGUGUUUGAGAGGGAACACCUGUAAGGAGGAAAUUAAAGCAAAAUUCAUUUUCAAGGGCGUUGAAACCGGCCUCUCGCAUUGCAACUCUCCCCAAACAAUGAUGAGGGAGCUGGAAGAGCGCCAGCGCUCAGCGGCAGAGCUGUUUCCAGGACCCUUUCCAAGGCUGUUAAAGCACUGUUAAUGUUAUGUGGAAGGGGGCGAAAGACAAAACACCCCCCAGAGCCCUUAGUAUCCCCCAGGCGCCUUCCCGGUAUUCGAGGAAUCCCAACUGCUAGGCAGGGAGUUUGGGUUUGGAGCAGAGGCGACAGCCGGGGGGAUGCCUGUCACAGCUCUGAGACGUCCCAGCAGAGGGAAGGGUCUUGCCCAGCACACAUUGGCUAGGGCCAUGGCAAGUUACUGGCUUGCAACACAGAAUCUGGUAGCAUCUAUGCGUAUGAUUCUUCUCUGAGCAUUGCUGUGACCAUGUUCAUGUCUUUGAGAUAAUAUAUGUUAACAGUAAGUAUUUUUUGACCAGAUAUAAAUGAUUAUAUAGGAAUAUAUAUAUAAAAUGCAAGA